rnacentral:rRNA from 1 species
CCACUCAUUGAAAGAGUGCGUAACAGCUCACUGGUCAAGUGGUCCUGCGCCGAAAAUUACCGGGGCUAAAGCCUAACACCGAAGCUAUGGCUGGUUGUGUUACCACUAGUAUUCUUAGGAAAGAAGAGAAGCGAGGUAAUUUCACCAAAAGCGACCGUAAAAGGGAAUAGAAGCUUUUGGUCAAAUUCACCAAGGGAUAAAGACUAACUAAGGAUAGCAGUGGUAACACAACCGGGGUAGGGGAGCGUCGUAUAGUGAGAGAAGCUGUACCGAAAGGAGCAGUGGACAGUAUACGAGAGAGAAUGCUGGUAUGAGUAGCGAGAGAAUGGUGAGAAUCCAUUCCGUCGAAAAUCUAAGGAUUCCUGAGGAAGGUUCGUCCGCUCAGGGUAAGUCGGGACCUAAGGAGAGGCGUAGAGCGUAUCCGAUGGACAAUCGGUUGAAAUUCCGAUACCACCAGGUAUCGUUUGGAGGAAGCAGUGACACAGGAGGAUAGGAUGAGCACGGAGUUGGUAUACCGUGUCCAAGCACCGAGGCUGGCAUGUAGGAAAGACCGCAUGUCAUAAGGCAGAGGUGUGAUGGGGAGCGAAAUUAGAGUAGUGAAGCAUCUGAUUUCACACUGUCGAGAAAAGCUGCUAACGAGAUAUCGGGUGCCCGUACCGCAAACCGACACAGGUAGAUGAGGAGAGAAUCCUAAGACGAGCGAGAGAAGCGUUGUCAAGGAACUCGGCAAAAUAACCCCGUAACUUAGGGAGAAGGGGUGCCACAGAGAUGUGGCCGCAGUGAAAGGGCCCAAGCGACUGUUUAGCAAAAACACAGGUCUCUGCGAAAUCGAAAGAUGAAGUAUAGGGGCUGACGCCUGCCCGGUGCUGGAAGGUUAAGGGGAAUGCUUAGCGCAAGCGAAGGUGUGAACUUAAGCCCCAGUAAACGGCGGCCGUAACUAUAACGGUCCUAAGGUAGCGAAAUUCCUUGUCAGGUAAGUUCUGACCCGCACGAAUGGCGUAACGACUUGGGCACUGUCUCGACAACGCGCUCGGCGAAAUUGUAGCACUAGUGAAGAUGCUAGUUACCCGCGAUUGGACGGAAAGACCCCGUAGAGCUUCACUGCAGCUUGACAUUGGGUUUUGGUAUAUGAUGUACAGGAUAGGUGGGAGACUAGGAAGGUAGGACGCCAGUCUUACCGGAGUCGACGUUGGGAUACCACUCUUCAGAUACCGGAAUUCUAACCAGAGGCCGUAUAGCCGGUCAUGGGACAUAGUCAGGUGGGCAGUUUGACUGGGGCGGUCGCCUCCCAAAGAGUAACGGAGGCGUCCAAAGGUUCCCUCAGAAUGGUUGGAAAUCAUUCGGAGAGUGCAAAGGCAGAAGGGAGCCUGACUGCGAGAGAGACAACUCGAGCAGGUACGAAAGUAGGGCUUAGUGAUCCGGUGGUACCGAGUGGAAGGGCCAUCGCUCAACGGAUAAAAGCUA